GAUGAACGCUGGCGGCGUGCCUAAUACAUGCAAGUCGAGCGAACGGACGAGAAGCUUGCUUCUCUGAUGUUAGCGGCGGACGGGUGAGUAACACGUGGAUAACCUACCUAUAAGACUGGGAUAACUUCGGGAAACCGGAGCUAAUACCGGAUAAUAUUUUGAACCGCAUGGUUCAAAAGUGAAAGACGGUCUUGCUGUCACUUAUAGAUGGAUCCGCGCUGCAUUAGCUAGUUGGUAAGGUAACGGCUUACCAAGGCAACGAUGCAUAGCCGACCUGAGAGGGUGAUCGGCCACACGGGAACUGGGACCCGGUCCAGACUCCUACGGGAGGCAGCAGUAGGGAAUCUUCCGCAAUGGGCGAAAGCCUGACGGAGCAACGCCGCGUGAGUGAUGAAGGUCUUCGGAUCGUAAAACUCUGUUAUUAGGGAAGAACAUAUGUGUAAGUACCUGUGCACAUCUUGACGGUACCUAAUCAGAAAGCCACGGCUAACUACGUG
rnacentral:rRNA from 1 species